GUUGUAUCUUUCUUCAACAGCCAGCGACUGUCCAGCUGACAAAGUCUACAAGCCCUGCGGUCCUGCAGAACAGCCAACCUGUGAUGACAAUCCAGACGAGUCUAGGAUGAACUUCACCACCGAAGGCUGCUUCUGUCCUGAUGGGAUGAAACUCUUCAACAAGGACUCAGGGAUCUGUGUUGAUAAGUGGAUGCAUUGACCCCGAAGGAGUUCCAUGAGA